rnacentral:tRNA from 1 species
UAGGAAGUAAUGUAAUGGAAGCGUCAAGAGUUUUGAUCUCUUAGGUAUGGGUUCGAAUCCCUUCUUUCUAA